GGAUUUAGGAUUUCUGCUAAGUAUUCUUGUUUUUCUUUAAUGUUUCGUUUCUUGAGUAGAGUCUUGGCACUUUUCAGCUAUUUUUGCUGAUUUGGAAUUACAUUUUGAGGGAAACUACAUUUUUUCCUGUUUUCACCAGUACCUAAUUGAACACUUCCUCCAGAGGCCCUUGAGACAUAGCUCUUUUUCGCUACCGAGAAGACAAGAAAUAUUGCGAAGGCAGCAACAAGACUAACAGCUUAAUCUUCCCAAGAAACUGGAAAAACUAUACCCAUUUUGGGUAUCAGAUUACGAAUCUGAGUUUAAAAAUCAGCCUUUCUCCCAAGAGACUAAGAAUGAUUUCCUCCCUAAUCCUGGCACACCUGGUUGCUAUUAUGAAUUGCAGAAGUUGGAGAAAUCUAUGGAACAGUUUUCCGAGUUAAAGCAUGAAAAUUUUUAGCCAUUAAAUGUUCCCUAUCAUCAGAAACUAAAAUGGCUUGCUAGAUUAUGAUAACGAUUAUGACCAAGAGUCUUGUUGCAAUAUAUUGUUUACAGGAGAUGGUAUGCAAGCUUGUAAUAAUGAUUUUGAAAUCAGCCUUUUCCCCAUGUAUUUGGGAAUGAUUUCUUCCCAAACCUGAGUACACCUAGUAGCCCUUGUGAAUUGCCGGAGUUGAUGAGCUAUAUGGAACAAUUUUCAGAGGUGAGGCAUGAUAAGUAUCAUUGCUAACAAAUGUUUUUUAACAGAUGAAAUUAAUUGAGCAUGCUAGAGAAAUUAAUUUUACAAGUUUGCAUUUGAAUUUUUCUGGGUGCACUUGAAAAAUGACUCCACAUAAAACUCUCUACCAACUUUCAUAUCUUUCUUCUGGAAAUCUCUCAACGAAGUGAUCGGUACCCCCUUGGAUUUGCUCUUCGACCAUCUCAAUGUAAACUUCUCUCAUUUCAUUUCAUUUCAUCACAAUUCUCUUAUCAUUUAUGACACUUUUCGCCUGUCUUCUUUCCUUUUUUCUCUUUUCAUUUAUGACACUUUUUGCCUUUCUUCUUUCCUUUUAUGUUGAGAAUGUAGUCAAACAAGUAGGUAGGUUGUUGCUUUGGCUUAACUGUGUUAGAGGAGGCACAAGCCUUUCAGCAGAAAACUAACAGUUAGUUAACGACUCAUUUAGUAAAAUCCAAUGGCUUGGAAUCAAUGUUAGUGUGUUUUCUCUAUAAAAGAUAAAUGGUGGUUAUUGCAUUUCACCAGGAUUGCCACAUCAGACACAAAGGAGCAUAAAUUCAAAUGUAAUUCAAGCAACGAAACAUUUUGCCUUUCUUAUAAUAAACUUGGGGUUCCUUUUGUGCUCUUCAAUUUUUUUUCAAUCAAUCUACACUGUUUUCAUUACACUUUGUAAUAAACAGAGUACUCUGUUUCUGCAACCA